GACGAACGCUGGCGGCGUGCUUAACACAUGCAAGUCGAACGGAAAGGCCCUGCUUUUGUGGGGUGCUCGAGUGGCGAACGGGUGAGUAACACGUGAGUAACCUGCCCUUGACUUUGGGAUAACUUCAGGAAACUGGGGCUAAUACCGGAUCGGAGCUCCUGCUGCAUGGUGGGGGUUGGAAAGUUUCGGCGGUUGGGGAUGGACUCGCGGCUUAUCAGCUUGUUGGUGGGGUAGUGGCUUACCAAGGCUUUGACGGGUAGCCGGACUGAGAGGGUGACCGGCCACAGUGGGACGGAGAUACAGCCCAGACUCCUACGGGAGGCAGCAGUGGGGAAUAUUGCACAAUGGGCGGAAGCCUGAUGCAGCAACGCCGCGUGCGGGAUGACGGCCUUCGGGUUGUAAACCGCUUUCGCCUGUGACGAAGCGUGAGUGACGGUAAUGGGUAAAGAAGCACCGGCUAACUACGUG
rnacentral:rRNA from 1 species